GGACGUUGCUCUUUUGAUGGCCCGCGCCGGCCAGUCUCGCCGACGCCACACUGGGUUUGACGUCACGGGCCCAGCCCUGGAGCCCGGAGCACAGGGCAGCGGGGGAGGGAAAAGGAUGGGAGGGGGAUACCGAGGAGGGAGGGCCGAGGUCGGCACCGGGACCCACGGGGAAGGAAGGGGGAAGGGAUCGAGGUUGGAGAGGCUGCGGCGCGUGGCCUGAGGCGGAGAGUCGGGCUGCGGGGGUCCGGGCCAGGCCCGGCGCCGGCAUGACCCGCCUCGCCAGCAAGAGCAGGCCGGGCUUCCUCCUCCCUUGGCGGGCGGGGGAGGGGAAGGGGGCUCACGGCCGGGGGGAAGGGGGAAAACGUGGUCCUGAUUCUCCCUGUGCCACAGCCACAAAGCUGAUCCUGGCCUCCUGCGGAGGAGCCUGAGCGCCUUCCCGCAGACCUGACGCGACCCCUCCCCAGGUACCUGGGCCUCGGCCUGGUCUAGCGAGUCCCCUUCCUCCCAAGGAGCAGCCAGCGGAGCUCGGGUGGAGGAAAGCGAGGAGGCGACCAGGAGGCUGCCGCCGCCGCCGCCGCUGCAGGGCCCGGGGCUUCUGUAGGGCACAAGGCCUCCCUCACCAGGGUAAGGGACUGGCGAUCAACCUGGACGCCUAGGACCCUGGGAGCAAGCAUCCCGCAAUCGAGCAGGCGACGGCGCGGCCACCGCCUGGAGAGGAGCCGGGGCCCGAGGCGGCGUGCGGGGCGGUGGCAGCCGGCUUGGCCUACCCGAAACCCCAGGCCUGGAAGCGGCUGCUUUAGGCGUCAAGUUGAGCCGGGUAUGUGUGUCCUCUUGGGGAAAAGGAAACCCGCCCAGGCCAGGAGGAGCCGCGAGUGGUGGGGAGAGUCAAAAAAGAGGAGAUGCGCUGGGAGAUUACCCCCGCCCCCGCACUCCGCCCCCAGCCCAGCCCCGGCCUCCACUUCGAGGGAUCCUGAGCCUCCCACAGCCACUACCACCUUUUCCCCGGUUGAGAAAACCCCUGAUUGUAGCGAGAUAACAAUUGGCGCCAGCAGUCCAGCAGCGACGGACACCCGGCGGACCUCAGCCGGGACGCCUCGGGCAGCUGCUUCUUGCUCACUGCCGCACCCACCUCUGCACCCCAGCUCCGGUCAGCCCAGCAGCCAAAGCAAAAAGGAGAUUCCUCAGUUUCCUCCCUUGGAGGCUGCAAAGCCUCUCUCUGGUUAUUCCAACCAUUAAGAAAAAAAGAGGUGAUGGGAAAGAUUUGGUCUGCACACAAAGACAUACUAGGAGAAGAGUGCACAUUUAUGUAUAAAAUAGCCCAGGCACCAAGAAUGAGACAUUACUUCAGUACCGCCUAGAAAUAGUUAAAAAUAACUGAAUGCUAGAGGACAGAAGUGGUUUUGGGAUCUGCCCCACACACCUUAUCAGGAUCCCUAAUUCCCUGCCAUCUCCUGUGGUUCCAGGACACAAACUGCUGUAACCUCCAGAAGAGGGCUUCUCAGCCACCUGGCUCCCACGUACCUGCCGGUUCCCCAGGCACACUGUGUCCCGGGGCAGCUGGAAACCCUAACAGAAAACCCCUACCGAAGAAUGCUCAGGAGUUCCCACUCCCAUCCCUUCUCUGCACCCCUGACUGUCCCCACCUCAUUUAUCUUUUGCAAGAAGGCAGGUUGCAAAUGUCAAAUAAAGAAAAAUGCAGCUUGCCAGGUCUCCUCGCUUUUGGUGGGGACAGAACAGCCCCAGUGCUGGGGCUGGCAGAGACCUCGUGCAGAGUGGAGGAUGGGCCCGUGGAUUGCAGCCACUCCGCAUUUUCUAAGCCCUGCGGCUUCUUGGGCCAGGGACUUUGGGCUUUAGGAGGCAGCUGGCUGGAAGCUGCAAGCAGAGCCUCCUGCUUGAUCCCACCCAGAGACUCCAUAAUCAGACCCCCCAUGCGACCAGACACCCGAUGGGGUCUUGGUCUGAACUGACACCACACCCCGACUGGGUUCAGAUGGGUAGAAAACAAUUUCAUUCUUCUGAACGGCACAAAUAGGUCAUGGUAAGCCCCUCACACACACACACACACACACACACACACACACACACAGACUACCAGCCAUGUGGGCCCCCAAGCAUCUCAUUUACAGAUGCCUGGAUGGACUCAACAUGACUGGCUAGCCCCCAGCCCACCCAUGGUCACUACCACUACCUUCCCUGCAGCGGCCGGUAAGCAGAGGAGACUUCGGAAAUGCUGCUUCAUCACCUAUCCCUUUAAAGUUCUUAAUGUCCCAUCUGCGACCCCAGCAUCCUGGUGAGCAUGGACAAUGGGGAGGAGAGAAGGACCAGGAAAUAUGGGAACCAAGCCGAGGGAGAUGCUGCGCCACUGGACUCCCUUUCCUCCCUGCCCUUGUCAGAAUCACCCAUGUCACUUUCCUCAGGCACCCUGUCGGUAUCCCAGAGAAAGAAAAGGGGUGUAUAAUAGCAGCUGUCCUGCCCAGACUCACUUCACUUCUUUGACAUUUUAACAUUAUCUGUCUUCAGGGGGCAACUGCCUUUGAGUGACUUUUUGGAGGUCUGUUGUUCUGAUGUCCGAGGAGUUAAGUCCAAAUCCUUUCCUCUCUGCUCCUUCCGCUUCGGAUGCCCCUGGGCAACCUCUGGGGAGGCUGCGGUUUUCUCACCCACCUCAGGGUGCUCCUGGAAGCAAAGAAGCCUCCCAGCCCCUAGCUUCCCCGGGGAAUGCCAGAUGCUGACACAUCUGGGUUCCAACUUUAUCUUACAGCGCACAGCUGUUUAUUUAAUUGUAUGCAGAGACAAUGAGCCUCAACACACGCUUUAAAACAGAGGAAAAUAAACACGAAAUUGACACUGAAGCCACCUUUAGGAGAAGGCUCCUGGGCACAGGGGUUGUUUUCCCCAAUCCUCUGCCCUCCUUGCAGUGGGAAACGUGUCUCCGGCCCUUUCCAAGCGUUCUCAAGGGCUCUCAUUCUUCCGCUGGGUUUUUCUUCACAUCCCUACUUCUACCAGCUCUUUCCCGCAAACGAGGACAUCCACACACUCACACACCGUGCCCGCCCAAGGUCACCACAGAAACCCAGAGAUUUCCAGGGACCAAAAAGAACAAUAAGAACUGGGUUCUAGUUUAGUUUCUUCCAGAGGCAGUCUGCCCUUUGGAGAGGAGGCCUCCUCCUAAUUCUCUCCACGUGGAGCGGGGAGAGGGCGUGCGGAGUUAGAGAGGAAAGAGAGUGAUAUUCACUGACCUGGGCAGCUCGCUCCCGAGGGCCAGCUGUUUUUUAUUUUUUUUUUCCUGACUCGCCCGGAGAUCUGAAGGCAGAAAUGACAGGCAGAGUUCGCCACUGUGGCCGCCGCUGCCGUCCUGGCCGCUGGAACUGCUCACCGCAUCUCAGGCGGGCUUCCAGCGAGAGGUAAAACCUGGGCGCUGUGCGUUCUUCCUGGGAGCCCCCUCCCCUCCGCCUUCUCCUGCUCACUGUAGAGAGCGGAGCUCUUCCGGGUUGCGAAGAGGGAAAGGGAGGGAGGGAAGGAGAAAGAGCGAGGGAAUGAAUUUCACCCCCUUUUGCAAACAGGCAAACCGCACAUCAGGGUGUGUGAAACUGACAGAGCUGGGGGAGGGGGGGGAAAGGCGGCCUGAAAUGUGACCGGCACCUGGCGCCUGCACAGCCCGCUGUCUUCUGGUAGGGUUGGAAUUAACACUAUACAUGUCGUCAG
rnacentral:lncRNA from 10 species